GGCCACCUCGCGAGUAUAGGAAUGAACUGCGCGCGCGUGAAUCGCACUCACGAGGUCAGGGGUUCGAAUCCCCUCCGGUCCACCA
rnacentral:tRNA from 1 species